CUUUUAAAGAUUUAGUUAUGCAGCCAUGAAUGUGCUUGAGGCUGAUUUCCACAGACGUGAUAGGAAAGUUAGAAAUGAAUUGAGAGACAGACUAAUGCAUUGUUGGUUUUGAUCUUUUCAUGGGAUUUGUUGACAAUAACAAAAAUAUAUGACAUCAACCUUCUCCUUUAAAGCAUGGUUUUCUGUGCAGAGCUAACAUCUCAUUUAGAAUCACCCUCUUUUUGUGUGCUUUGAUGGGUAGGAGAUGAGUCCCAGAGCCACCAUGGUGGGCUAAUGGAUAUGACAUUCCAGAGCCUGACUCAACAUGGAGAUGCUUUUGGGGAUGAGGAUAGAGGAUUCGACCUACUCGACUUUCUGACAAACCCCAGUGAUAAUGUUGAGUCCACCGACUUCAUCCCCGAAGAGCCUCAACAUGAAAAUCCAGAGAUCUCUGCACUCGAUCAUCAACAAGAUGCUGACAUAAAGAUGAUGGUGACCCCUACACAGAGUGAGACCACCCUGCUCGCUAAUGAGGAGGAGGCCUUUGCCCUUGAACCUGUGACCAUCACUCCAAAUUCAGAGAAAAGAGGGGAAAGAGGAAACGCAGGUUGGUUGUGGACCAGUCUAAAGAGCUGACCAAUGACUUCAUCAGAGAGCAGCUUUCUGACUAUUCAG
rnacentral:lncRNA from 1 species